GAUGAACGCUGGCGGCGUGCCUAAUACAUGCAAGUCGAGCGAACAGACGAGGAGCUUGCUCCUCUGACGUUAGCGGCGGACGGGUGAGUAACACGUGGAUAACCUACCUAUAAGACUGGGAUAACUUCGGGAAACCGGAGCUAAUACCGGAUAAUAUAUUUAACCGCAUGGUUCAAUAGUGAAAGACGGUUUUGCUGUCACUUAUAGAUGGAUCCGCGCCGCAUUAGCUAGUUGGUAAGGUAACGGCUUACCAAGGCAACGAUGCGUAGCCGACCUGAGAGGGUGAUCGGCCACACUGGAACUGAGACACGGUCCAGACUACUACGGGAGGCAGCAGUAGGGAAUCUUCCGCAAUGGGCGAAAGCCUGACGGAGCAACGCCGCGUGAGUGAUGAAGGUCUUCGGAUCGUAAAACUCUGUUAUUAGGGAAGAACAAAUGUGUAAGUAACUAUGCACGUCUUGACGGUACCUAAUCAGAAAGCAACGGCUAACUACGUG
rnacentral:rRNA from 1 species